ACAACAUUCGGACCGUCGGUCUACCGAGCAAUAUCAACCGCUCGGUGGAAGAUCUUCCCUUUGUCGU
rnacentral:pre_miRNA from 1 species